rnacentral:sRNA from 1 species
UGUUUCGAAAGAACUGGUGUAACACUUGAAUCAAUCUUCGUAUGCGAUAAUAAAAUACAUAACGGUUUAAACAA